GACGAACGCUGGCGGCGUGCUUAACACAUGCAAGUCGAGCGAUGAAACACCUUCGGGUGCGGAUUAGCGGCGAACGGGUGAGGAACACGUGAGGAAUCUGCCUUCCACUCUGGGAUAACUCCGGGAAACCGGGGCUAAUACCGGAUACUUUCAACUGGCGGCAUCGCCGGUUGAAGAAAGUUUUUCGGUGGAAGAUGACCUCGCGGCCUAUCAGCUUGUUGGUGAGGUAAAGGCCCACCAAGGCGUCGACGGGUAGCCGGCCUGAGAGGGUGAACGGCCACACUGGGACUGGGACACGGCCCAGACUCCUACGGGAGGCAGCAGUAGGGAAUCUUCGGCAAUGGGCGAAAGCCUGACCGAGCAACGCCGCGUGAAUGAUGAGGGCCUUCGGGUUGUAAAAUUCUGUUAUAAGGGAAGAAUGGCUCUAGUAGGAAAUGGCUAGAGUGUGACGGUACCUUAUGAGAAAGCCACGGCUAACUACGUGCCAGCAGCCGCAGUAA
rnacentral:rRNA from 1 species